rnacentral:rRNA from 1 species
UUGAUCAUGGCUCAGAUUGAACGCUGGCGGCAUGCCUUACACAUGCAAGUCGAACGGUAACAGGAGCUUGCUCCGCUGACGAGUGGCGAACGGGUGAGUAAUACAUCGGAACGUGUCCUGUAGUGGGGGAUAGCCCGGCGAAAGCCGGAUUAAUACCGCAUACGAUCUAAGGAUGAAAGCGGGGGAUCUUCGGACCUCGCGCUAUAGGGGCGGCCGAUGGCAGAUUAGCUAGUUGGUGGGGUAAAGGCCUACCAAGGCGACGAUCUGUAGCUGGUCUGAGAGGACGACCAGCCACA